UGUCUGAAUGCUUACCAUGGUCAUCUUCAAUAAAAUUCUGAUGAGUUCUCUUAUGACGAAACUGUUGUUGUUUUGGAUCAUGUUGAAAUUCGAUGCUGCUGUUGAUGGAGAUGAAACCAUUGAGCUCAAAGCUGAGGAGUCAAAUUGAAGGUUGUUAUGAUCGAUGUUGUUGUUGUUAUAGAAGGAAUCUUGGUUUUGGUGAUUAUUAUUCUCAGCGGUUUCAAACUGAUGAAUUGGAUGGUGCUGGUGAUGGGACAUGCCACCAUUCAGAAAGAAUUGGUUUUCCAUUCAGCCUUUCCAGAUCAGGUGACAAACAAGUAAUUCCUUCUUUUCUUUUUUCUUUUUAAUAAUUAGCAAAAGUCUUAAAAUCAGAACAGAGUUAUGUAUGUCCCUAAAAUUUGAAGGAUAAAAUGAUUUGUUUACAUUAGAGAAGAAACAAAGAGAAUUUUGAAGGAGGAGUGGUAGCAAAUAUGGUAAGAAGGGGACAAUUGAAGUGAUGAUCAGAUCAAUUAAGGAUAAAACAUACGUCACAAUAAAAAGCUUUUUCUGGUCUGUGUCUCUGAAUUUAUUGACUAAUUGCAAUGUUAAUGAUAAGCAUUCUCAUUUAUACUUUAGCUUUCAUAUUUUUCCUUUCCAUUGGUUGGACCACAUAAUAUAAAUGCUUAUUGUUCUUGAGAAGAACAUACAGUGGGGUGCAUCAGAGCCUUGGUUUAUUUGUUUUAUUGUUUGGGUAUAUUGUGUUGUCCAUCUUGGUUGAAGUAAAUUUUCAAAACAAAUUGUGUGAAACUUCUUUCAUGGCAAUAUAUGCUUGUAAGUUCUCGAUUAAAAUAUGAUAGGCUGUAGCAAGUGAAGGCAGAACAGAUGAUGCCAAAUGAAGGGGUGAUGCAUUUGCUCGAGCAUUUUCUACUCACUUGGCACGGUUGAUGGAGGAGCCUGCUGCAUAUGGGAAAUUAGGCCUAGCCAAUUUAUUGGAAAUGAGGGAAGAGUGCUUGAGAGAGUUCCAGUUUGUUGAUGCCUAUGGAAGUAUAAAACAGAGGUAUACUUUAUUUUGGAUAAUGCUACUACUUAGCAAGC